CCUACGGGUGGCAGCAGUGGGGAAUAUUGCACAAUGGGGGAAACCCUGAUGCAGCAACGCCGCGUGAGUGAAGAAGUAUUUCGGUAUGUAAAGCUCUAUCAGCAGGGAAGACGAUGACGGUACCCGAAUAAGAAGCACCGGCUAACUACGUGCCAGCAGCCGCGGUCAUACGUAGGGGGCAAGCGUUAUCCGGAUUUACUGGGUGUAAAGCGCUCGUAGGCGGUAUGUCAAGUCAAGGGGGAAAUCCCCGGGCUCAACGUGGGAACUGCCUUUGAAACUGGCAAACUGGAGUGUGUGAGAGGAUAGUGGAAUUCCAGGUGUAGGAGUGAAAUCCGUAGAUAUCUGGAGGAACAUCAGUGGCGAAGGCGACUAUCUGGCACAUAACUGACGCUGAGGAGCGAAAGCGUGGGUAGCAAACAGGAUUAGAUACCCUUGUAGUC
rnacentral:rRNA from 1 species